rnacentral:misc_RNA from 1 species
GACGAACCGUGCGAACGUUGUUCGGAUUCACUGGGCUUAAAGGGCGCGUAGGCGGGCGGCAACGUCGGGGGUGAAAUCUCACGGCCCAACCGUGAAACGGCCUCCGAUACGGGCCGCCUCGAGGGAGGUAGGGGCACGCGGAACUUCCGGUGGAGCGGUGAAAUGCGUAGAUAUCGGAAGGAACGCCGGUGGCGAAAGCGGCGUGCUGGGCCUUCGCUGACGCUGAGGCGCGAAAGCCAGGGGAGCGAACGGG